rnacentral:misc_RNA from 1 species
AUCUAUCAGAUUGUAUCUUCCAAGUAGGGAUCCCCAGCAUAAUUCAAACUCCGCAAUUGUCUCAGUCAAGUUGACACAUUUCUGAAAUUCUGCUUCAAAAGUGGGGAAUGACUGGAUUGAGUGUGAGAGCCUCUCCUGUGCUUCUCUAAAAAUAUUGGAUUUGCAGAAGCGGUGGCGAGCGCCUGGAAAUACGUCUAAUAUGGCUGACCUGAUGAUCCUAUCAUGAUCUGAAGUUAUAGAAAUAGGAUGGCAACCAGACAUUGCAGCAAGCCAAUUUUCGAAUAGCCAAAUGAAUGAUGACUCUGAUUCAUUGAGAAGCAGGGCACAGCCAAAUAAAACAGGUUGACAAUGAUGGUUUACUCCUAUAAAUGGUGCAAAAGGCACCCGGUAUCGGUGAGUCCUAUAGGUGGUAUCAAAUGUAACUGUAUCUCCAA